AUGAAAUUCGGUCACCAUGGAGGAACAUCUGGUCGUUCGCAACCUCAAACUGGCUGCGUUGAAAUUCUGUCGGGACCAUUUGCAUCAGGCUCUGCGUUUGGAGUAACUCGAUGCCAGUUUCGGCUUUACGUCACAACUUUUGAUGGUUUCUGGAUAUAUCGCAUGUCAAGUUUUUUGGUUCAUCUUUGUCGAUCGUAUUAG